CCUACGGGAGGCUGCAGUGGGGAAUAUUGGACAAUGGGCGAAAGCCUGAUCCAGCCAUGCCGCGUGUGUGAAGAAGGCCUUCGGGUUGUAAAGCACUCUCAGUGGGGAAGAAAGCCUUGGGGCUAAUACCCUCGAGGAAGGACAUCACCCACAGAAGAAGCACCGGCUAACUCCGUGCCAGCAGCCGCGGUAAUACGGAGGGUGCGAGCGUUAAUCGGAAUUACUGGGCGUAAAGCGCGCGUAGGCGGUCUGAUAAGCCGGUUGUGAAAGCCCCGGGCUCAACCUGGGAACGGCAUCCGGAACUGUCAGGCUAGAGUGCAGGAGAGGAAGGUAGAAUUCCCGGUGUAGCGGUGAAAUGCGUAGAGAUCGGGAGGAAUACCAGUGGCGAAGGCGGCCUUCUGGACUGACACUGACGCUGAGGUGCGAAAGCGUGGGUAGCAAACAGGAUUAGAUACCCGAGUAGUC
rnacentral:rRNA from 1 species